UAACCCGCAAGGGAGCCAGCCGCCGAAGGUGGGGUAGAUGAUUGGGGUGAAGUCGUAACAAGGUAGCCGUAUCGGAAGGUGCGGCUGGAUCACCUCCUUU
rnacentral:rRNA from 1 species